UACGUAGGGUGCAAGCGUUAAUCGGAAUUACUGGGCGUAAAGCGUGCGCAGGCGGUUCGGAAAGAAAGGUGUGAAAUCCCAGGGCUUAACCUUGGAGCUGCACUUUUAACUACCGGGCUAGAGUACGUCAGAGGGGGGUAGAAUUCCACGUGUAGCAGUGAAAUGCGUAGAGAUGUGGAGGAACACCGAUGGCGAAGGCAGCCCCCUGGGCCAAUACUGACGCUCAUGCACGAAAGCGUGGGGAGCAAACAGG
rnacentral:rRNA from 1 species